UACGAAGGGUGCGAGCGUUAAUCGGAAUUACUGGGCGUAAAGCGUGCGCAGGCGGCUUUGCAAGACAGAUGUGAAAUCCCCGGGCUCAACCUGGGAACUGCAUUUGUGACUGCAAGGCUAGAGUACGGUAGAGGGUGGUGGAAUUCCGCGUGUAGCAGUGAAAUGCGUAGAUAUGCGGAGGAACACCAAUGGCGAAGGCAAUCCCCUGGGCCUGUACUGACGCUCAUGCACGAAAGCGUGGGGAGCAAACAGG
rnacentral:rRNA from 1 species